CUAUGCAAAGGAGAUGUGUUGCGCUGCAUGAGGAAAAUGGUCACACCAGAUACUGACUGAUUUUCUGAUCCACACCACUCCUUUUUUUAAGCCCUGGCCCUGAAGAGGGCCGUCACAGACAAGCACGUAUUUGUGCAGGAUCUGCGUCCCAAUGUCCCGGAAGUGAAGCCGGUCCUCUUUGCGUUCCAUGGAAUCCACGCUGCAGUCCUCAUACUUCACUGCCCAGAAACACAUCUCCCCUAUGUACAUCAUCGUCAGCAGCCAGGAAGUUGGCGGUAGCAGAGUCGUGAAACACCACCCCAUCGUUGAGCUUCACAGAGUUCCUCACCUGCAACAUCCUCAUCAGGUAACGUACGCCCUCCUGAAGACACUGAAACAAGACAGACAACACAGCAUGAACAGGCGUAAGAAAUCCAACUCUAAUAGUAGCAGUUGCACUGCAAUUCAAGUUAGGACUUCUAUGUAAAGUUAAAUGGCCACACCUUGAGGAAAGUGGCUUUGUUCUUCUUGAUCCACUGCUUGCGUUGGUGGAGUGUGUGGCAGUACAUGUAAAGCAGUGCUCCACGUCUCCAGUAGAGGCACUCUAACACCUCUAGCCCCAGCACUGACUGCACCUAGAACAGGGACAGGUGUCACUAAACAGUGUGUGUGUGUCACCGGAGGAUGGUGGCACCUUAAUUGGGGAGGACUGGCUCGUGGUAAUGGUUAGAGCUAAAUAUGUGGAACGGUAUCAAAUACAUCAUACACAUGGUUUCCAUGUGUUUGAUACCAUUCCAUCCACUCCGUUCCAGCCAUUAUGAGCCAUCCUCCCCUCAGCAGCCUCCACUGGUGUGUGUGUGGUGUGUAAAUCUGCUGUUUUUUUCUUGUAGUGAACAAAAUACUCAAUGCAUAGGGUAUAAGGUCCUAUGCACAUGCAUUGCCCUUUAAGAGCAGGCUGAAUAUCUUUUGCAAAGGCACACACACCUCUUGGGCCGGGACCAGUCUACCCGCCAGCACCUCUGGCUCUGUGAGGUCCUGCAGCAGCUGUUGGAUCUUAAAGGGUGAGCAGUCCUCCGGGAACUCCUGGUCCACCAGCUUGUUUUCCUCAUAGAACGUGAUGUCCAGGAUCACCUACACACACACACACUAGUGUCAUUCUUUACUUUUAAAAGGCCCAGUGCAGUCAAAUGUGAUUUCCUGUGUCUUAUAUACAUUUCCACACUAUGAGGUUGGAAUAAUAAUGUGAAAAUGAUAAUUCCCUUUAAGUGUAAGAACUCUGGUGACAUCCCAUGCAGUAAAUUAGUUAAUAGACAAAAAAAAAAAAAAAAA